rnacentral:lncRNA from 1 species
AUGGCUUGGAUCAGCUUCAGCACCUGCAUUUGGAGAUGGCAAGCCUCUUCGAAACCUGAAACCCCAGCUGCCAGCAGCCACAGCCCUAAUUUGGAAGCAGCUGAACAAAGCAAAGUGAACAAAGCAUUUUGGAUUGGGGGUGGAGGACACUGUCCACACUCCAGACUUGGGGUCCCAGAGGGCAAGAAUAGGGGCUGAUUCAUCUUUAUGUGAAACAGACACACAACCUGACAAUAUGAAAAUCCUCAAUAACCACUUGCACUAUUAAUCCAUUUGUCUAACAUCAUUGUGCACCUGCUAUAGGCCAGGGAUUCUCCUAAGCUUCCUCCAAGCAUCUCAUUGAAUCCUCAAAAUGACCCUGUAUGAUCAAGGUAAACGAUGGUGUGCAUUCUUGAGAGGAUAGGAUGAGAAAGGUACUUCAUCUUUGCAGUCUUCUUCCCCCAAACCUGCAACCACAGCCUAAUCAUGAGGAAAAGAUGAACCCAAAUGGAGGAAACUUCACAAAACACCUAACCUGUUCUCCAACAGACAACUACCAAGGUCAUCAAAACCAAAUACAGUCUGAGAAACUGGCACAACCCAGAGGAGCCUAAGGAGGCAUGGCAACUAAAUGUCAUGUGUUGUUCUGGGUAUCUCAAAAGAGACACUGGGAGAAAAGUGGUGAAAUCUAAGUGAACAGUGGAGUUCAGUUACUAGUAACAUACCAACGUUGGCAUUCUCAUCCUAGAUGUACCAUGGAAAUGUGAAAUGUUAAAAAUUGGGGAAAUUCGGUGAAAAGUUUACAGGAAUUUCUGUACCCUCCUUGCAGCUUUUCUGUAAACCUAAAACAACUUUAAAUUUUUAAAACAAUUACUUAAAUUAGAAAACUUGCUAAAAAUCUAACCCUUCAAUGUAGGCGCUAUUAAUUGUCCCAGUUGGAUGGGCAAAGGUAUUGUCCAGAGGAGUUACAAAUCAUUGUCCCCUAAUCUGAUUAUCAUUCUAGCAACUUCUCAGACCCUACUCUAAGCUCCUGUUUACACUGCAGAGACCCUCCCAGGGCUCCUGAGAAUUAGAUCAUGGGAGGGGAUCUCGAAGGGAUAAUUUCUCUGCUUGGAAGCACGAGCAACCCAAAUCGCUCUGAGAGGAAGACGGUGAAUGAGUCUGCAUGGUCUGGGUGCUGGGGGCUCACACAA